rnacentral:rRNA from 1 species
UUUAGUACGGGACAACGGUUGGAAACGAACGCUAAUACCGUAUACGCCCUCCGGGGGAAAGGUCAGCCGCUAAAAGAGGGGCCCGCGUCUGAUUAGCUUGUUGGUAAGGUAAUGGCUUACCAAGGCGACGAUCAGUAGCUGGUCUGAGAGGAUGAUCAGCCACACUGGGACUGAGACACGGCCCAGACUCCUACGGGAGGCAGCAGUGGGGAAUAUUGGACAAUGGAGGCAACUCUGAUCCAGCAAUGCCGCGUGUGUGAUGAAGGCCCUAGGGUUGUAAAGCACUUUCAACGGUGAAGAUGAUGACGGUAGCCGUAGAAG